rnacentral:rRNA from 1 species
UACGUAGGGGGCAAGCGUUGUCCGGAAUCAUUGGGCGUAAAGCGCGUGUAGGCGGCUCGAUAAGUCCGCUCUGAAAGCCCGGGGCUCAACCCCGGGAGGCGGGCGGAAACUGUCGGGCUAGAGUCCGGAAGAGGCGAGUGGAAUUCCCGGUGUAGCGGUGAAAUGCGCAGAUAUCGGGAGGAACACCUGUGGCGAAAGCGGCUCACUGGACCAUAACUGACGCUGAUGCACGAAAGCUGGGGGAGCAAACAGG